UAUUUUUUUUUACAGGAAUCACUCCUUCUGUAUGUGACAUUGAACAGGCUAUUAACGAGACUACAUCAUGCUCGAGACAGUUCAAACGGUCCAUGACAGACAAAGAGGCCGUGAUAAAAGAAAAUCCAGAAAGUGUUUGCUGGAAUUUCUGCAAGUUGCACUCGUGUCACGAAGACGCAGUGAAGAAUUCAAGUUGUGAAAGAGAAAUAGAAUAUUUUAUAGAAAGUAACAUUUACGUUGCAAGAGCAAUUGUCCAACGGGCCUAUAAGGUUAACUGUACGAAUUACUCUUGUGUUAACCCUAACACUUCUAUGAAAGUUGCAGUAUCGCCUGUUUGUUCCAUUAUUCUAUUUUUGGUAUUCAUCUGUCAGUUCGACUGAAGACCAGGCAACAAACGGACAUAUCGUUGGAAGUAGCUGCCUUUUUCUAUUUCGUUUCUAAAAUUUAAAAACAAAUGUUUUUGUUUACUGUUGUAUUAUGCUUAUAAACUAAUUUAGUUUUUUAUGGAAAACAUGACAACGUUUCUAAUAAUAUUGCAUUGAUUUUUAAAGUUUUAAUAAAGACUCGUUGAGGAUGGU